ACCGCGCAUGCGCGGGGCCGCCGUGAGGUGCGGCGGGGCCAUGGACUGGAAGCGGAGCCUGAGGAACCGCCUGGCAGCGCGCUGUACCCCCAAAAAGAGCGAACAGGAACUGAAAGAUGAAGAGAUGGAGUUGUUCACAAAGUAUUACAUGGAAUGGAAAGGAGGAAGAGCUAGUGUCAAUACGUCGUAUGCAAACAUACCACGAUUUUAUUACAGGCUGCCAGCUGAAGAUGAAGUCUUGCUUCAAAAGUUAAGAGAAGAAUCUAGAGCAGUCUUUCUGCAAAGAAAGAGUAGAGAGCUGCUGGAUAAUGAAGAGCUUCAGAAUCUGUGGUUUCUACUGGACAAACAUCAGACAUCACCGAUGAUUGGGGAAGAAGCAAUGAUUAACUAUGAGAACUUCUUGAAAGUUGGUGAAAAAGCUGGACCUAAAUGCAAGCAGUUCUUCACAGCAAAGAUUUUUGCUAAAUUACUCCAUAAUGAUCCUUAUGGGAGGAUAUCUAUCAUGCAGUUUUUCAAUUAUGUCAUGCGAAAAGUGUGGCUUCAUCAGACAAGGAUAGGUCUCAGUUUAUAUGAUGUGGCAGGACAGGGCUACCUCAGAGAAUCAGAUUUAGAAAACUACAUUUUAGAACUCAUCCCUACUUUGCCACAACUGGAUGGCUUAGAAAAAUCUUUUUACUCCUUCUAUGUCUGCACAGCAGUUAGAAAGUUCUUCUUCUUUCUGGAUCCUCUCAGAACAGGGAAGAUAAAGAUACAGGACAUUUUAGCUUGCAGCUUCCUGGAUGACUUACUGGAGUUAAGGGAUGAAGAACUUUCUAAAGAAAGUCAGGAAACAAAUUGGUUUUCUGCUCCUUCCGCACUUAGAGUUUAUGGACAGUACUUAAACCUUGAUAAAGAUCACAAUGGCAUGCUCAGCAAAGAAGAGCUGUCCCGGUAUGGAACGGGGACGCUGACCAACAUAUUUCUGGACCGCGUCUUUCAGGAAUGCUUAACUUAUGAUGGAGAAAUGGACUAUAAAACCUACCUGGACUUUGUACUUGCAUUAGAAAACAGAAAGGAGCCUGCAGCUUUGCAAUAUAUUUUCAAACUGCUUGACAUUGAGAACAAAGGAUACCUGAAUGUCUUUUCCCUUAAUUAUUUCUUUAGGGCUAUUCAGGAACAAAUGAAAAUCCAUGGACAAGAACCAGUUUCUUUUCAGGAUGUCAAGGAUGAGAUCUUUGAUAUGGUAAAGCCUAAAGAUCCUUACAAAAUCUCCCUUCAAGAUUUAAUCAAUAGCAGUCAAGGAGACACUGUUACCAGUAUUCUAAUUGAUCUGAAUGGGUUCUGGACAUAUGAGAACAGAGAGGUCCUUGUGGCAAGUGAUAAUGACAGCGUUGCUGAUGCUGAUGAUACGUGACUUUCAACAGGAGUAAACUGCAUCCAUUGAGAUAUCUCUUAACUGAUGCCUUCAUUAACUACUGGAUGCUGGGAACAUUAUUUAAGUUGAUGCCUCUUCCAUUUUGCUGCCCUUCCAUCUUUAUCAUCCUCAGGCACGUAAGAUAAAAUGCAGUAUGUAGAAAUGAGUUCUGCAGAUCCUUUGAAAUGAAAACAACAGGUCUUGUUUCAGAGAAUGUGAAUUUAUCUUGAAAUUAAGGAUGUAUUUCUUGAAUACUCUCAGCACUGGCCUGUAUCCACUCAGCCACAGUGUUCUGCAUGGCUUUGUCUAAGGACAGCGCUGUUAAGCAGUCUACCCUAAAGGCAAAAAUCUUCCAUAAGAGGUACUGAUCCAUGCUCUCCCUUGCAGACCUUCAGGGUGGAAUGAUUUUACACAGCUGUCAGCACCCUCUGUAUUACCAUUCAAAACAAGGUAAAGAACAGAGCAUCAAAACAGAUGACCGAAUCUUUCUCAGAAGAGGUGCUGUAGUGUAGAAGGGCGCAUGAGAGAAGAAAGAAUUUACGUUAUAUGGGAUACCAGUUCAGAGAGCUGUCUGAAAUACGGAACUGAGCUCUGCAAAGUAAUGCCCAAGGAUCCUGGCCUGUGCUGUUCCAGCAUGCUCCUUGGUUAGCUGGUAGUGGGAAUAAGGCUGGGGAAGUAUGAUGACAUCCAACAGAAAAAUUCACUGAAGGUUCUUGAAAUUUUUGAGUUCUCAAGGACAGAAACAGUUAUUCAAAUGGCUACUACAUAUUAUAAGCUUUCUGCUCAUUCAUCUAUAAAUAUUCUGCAAAGGAAGUGACUGGGACACAGUUACUUAUUUCCCUGCCUGCAGCAGUGACUCCUGAUUGUCCCAAUGUAAACCAUUCACCUUUUGCAACUUAGAACUAGGAUCACAGUCAUUGCAAUAAAAUCCUUUAAUUGGUAAUUGGGGGCAGUUAAAAACUGGAGUGAAACUGCAUUUCACUUAAAAAAGAAUGAGUUUUGUUUCAAUACUGAAACAAGUUUUUUUGUUUUUCAUUUAAAAGACGAUACAUAGGCCUGGUUCUGUGACUUCCAGUUAUUUAUGAAUUCUGCACUAGGGGGGGAAAGAUACCUGCAAUAGCACAUUCCUUACUCAUAACUGAACGUUAAACAAACUGCCUGUUCAGGUUAAUUAGGUACACUGAUUCAGGUAUCGUAUGACAAAAAGGAAAAAAAAAAGUUGUAGUUACAGGUUGGUACCAUACACAACGUCUACCACAUUCACUCUAAUUUAGCAAGACUUCAGUUUACUCUCCAUGCCAAUUCAGAGCAUGUAGGGAAGUAUUUGAACAGGUGGUUCACUAUUAAUUCUUGGAUCUAGAGGGACAGCAUCUUAUGCUGACACUAGUUCUGUACUUGAUUACAGCACUAAAUGGAACGGCUGAGCAGUAUCAGCUUCCAGCAGUGCUGCUACUAGUACCUAUGUACUCGGGGAUGUUUAUAGGCUCCUUUAAAGUUAAGAGUAACAAUAAAGUGUUUCAUUGGGCCCUUAAAUCUAAUUAACGUUAAAUCUAACAUCUCUUGUGUCAGUAACAGAAAGAUACAUGCACACAGUAGUGACAACAAAUAGGGGAAUUCAGAAGCUACUCUGACUUGUGAGUUAGAGGAUAUUGAUUCCUACUAAUCUAUUCAUAGAGAGCCAAGUUGCAAACAGUGUACAAAUCAGAAAUAGGUGUUUAGAAGUAGCAAAGAGCACUACAUCUGCAAUCCACAGUGCCAGACAAGAAUUUAAAUGUUUUACUUGCUUUACAAGAAAUUCAAUUUUAGACCAAAUGUUUGUAGUACAAUUUUCAUUUUAACUGAAGUGCCAAUUUGGCAGAAUGCCUCAGCCUUUAUUAGACUGACAGAAUGAAGAGAUAUCACUUAGCUCUCUCCUGAUCAAUAAGAAUGCUAAAAGUUGUAUUACACUGAACAAAUAUAAUCCUAUUUUUCUGCUUGUAGCCAGACUGUGACACCUGACACUCUCUAUUUCCUACAGUAUACAGAGCUUUUCACUUAAGUAGGGACAGAAACUACAUCUUGUUUAUUUUCCACAACAGACUGGCAAUCUCCCUCAUUUUCGAAGUUUACAUUCACAAAGGAAGUACUUGUUGUUGCUUCAGGCUGCUCUGUUUGGACAGGAGCCUCAGCCUGUGGCUUGUUCUGCUGCUCCUGAUGCUGUCUUUCUGCUUCUUCUGACAUCCUGUUUUCCUGUUCCUCCUCUUCUUCCUAAAAUAAACAGCCAGGUUCAUAAGCUGCUGUUUCCUUGAAGUAAAUAAGGCUUAUAUUCUGUAAGAACAUAUCAGUUCCCAUUACAAGACACAAAUAUUUGUUCUGCUUAAUAACAGUCACUAGCUUAUUGUAAUUCCACUAGCUUAUUGUAAUUGUGAAAUUACACUUCCGAAAAGUAAAGGGUUAAACUGUGUCCCACCAACACAGAAAAAAUGAUGUGUCUAGAUAAGCAGUCUUUAGUGAACAGUAGUGAUAGAUUUACUUUCUAUGAAGCAUUUCAAUGCUAUUUUAAUAAUAAAAAAGCUAUUAAAAUAAGUGUUAAAAGUGUUAAA